UGAGGAAUCUUCCACAAUGGGCGAAAGCCUGAUGGAGCAACGCCGUGUGCAGGAUGAAGGCCUUCGGGUCGUAAACUGCUUUUAUAAGUGAAGAAUAUGACGGUAGCUUAUGAAUAAGCACCGGCUAACUACGUGCCAGCAGCCGCGGUCAUACGUAGGGUGCAAGCAUUAUCCGGAGUGACUGGGCGUAAAGAGUUGCGUAGGUGGUUUGUUAAGUGAAUGGUGAAAUCUGGCGGCUCAACCGUACAGACUAUCAUUCAAACUGACAAACUCGAGAAUAGCAGAGGUAAUUGGAAUUCCUAGUGUAGGAGUGAAAUCCGUAGAUAUUAGAAGGAACACCAAUGGCGUAGGCAGGUUACUGGGCUAUUUCUGACACUGAGGCACGAAAGCGUGGGGAGCGAACCGG
rnacentral:rRNA from 1 species